ensembl:antisense Gm42425 predicted gene 42425
GAUGCUGAGUGACAAAGAAGCCAGGCACAAAAGGUCACACAUCAUGUGCUUCUGUUUACAGAACAUGUCCAGAUUGUAGACUUCCAAAGUGUCUCCCCCUCUGAAUGCCGCCAUGCUUCAUCACAUGACCUUCCCUGGAGGAAUGGAAAGAGAAGAGGCAUCUAUUUAUUCUGCCCACACAGAGAGGGCACCAAUGGGAGGAUUCCACACAGCCCAGCCUGGUGUCCUAAAGCAAUCACUGGUGUGAUUCACAAGAUCGUGGAUGAUUCAAAGGCAGCUCCACCAGUGAGAAGCCCACUGGGCACCAAUACCACUGAAGAGUCGACUACACCUGCUGCAUGGACAACUCAACAAAAGAUGUGCCACUGAAGGCAGUCUCGCUGCGCAGUGAACAGCAGCAACCCCACCCAAGAGCACUACCUCCUGAGUUAGCCUUCCGAUGGGGAGGGAGCAGUGAGGAGCCCUGAAGGCUGUGAGCAGCACAGCAGCAGCAGCAGCAGCACACCAUGGGUCUGCCCCCUCCCAGAGGAUGUGAACAGAUACAAUCUCAGAA